GCAGGAUGUGCACGGGAUUUUGCUCUUGCGGGCACCCAAAGGCGCUCGCCCUGGCUCCUGAACCUGCUCACCUGUGUGAUCUCUCCCAUGAAGGGUGAAACAUAGCAGGUCCAAGUGAGUGGAGCUCCCUUUUGCUGGUGCUGAAGUGGCCAGCUGGUUCCAGCACUCAUGUACUCCAGUUUCUGCCUAGUUCUCUGCCUCGUUGGCUUGCAUGCUUCCUCCUGCGAGAAGUUGAGAGCAGCGGACUGAGUUACCAAGGAACCCCUGUCCUGAGUCCCGUGAAGGGGUCAGGGAAAUAUCCUGCUGCAGUUGGAUCCCUGAAGUCAAAUUGCAAGGACAGUGGUCUACUCAGCAAUCUGGGAUGAGUUUAGAGAACUCAAUUCUCCCUUGAGAGAGACCUGCCCUGGCACUAUGGAAUAAGCAUGCUACGUUAACUUUCUAAAGGCCACUGGGGAACAAUUUACUGAACUGCAAACUUAAAGCCUCUGGAGAAACAGUACAGCA
rnacentral:lncRNA from 10 species